UACGGAGGGGGCUAGCGUUGUUCGGAAUUACUGGGCGUAAAGCGCACGUAGGCGGCUUUGCAAGUUAGAGGUGAAAGCCCGGGGCUCAACUCCGGAAUUGCCUUUAAAACUGCAUCGCUAGAAUUGUGGAGAGGUAAGUGGAAUUCCGAGUGUAGAGGUGAAAUUCGUAGAUAUUCGGAAGAACACCAGUGGCGAAGGCGGCUACCUGGCACAUAACUGACGCUGAUACGCGAAAGCGUGGGGAGCGAACCGG
rnacentral:rRNA from 1 species